UACAGAGGUCUCAAGCGUUGUUCGGAUUCACUGGGCGUAAAGGGUGCGUAGGUGGCGCUGUAAGUCGGGCGUGAAAUUUCGGAGCUUAACUCCGAAACUGCAUUCGAUACUGCGGUGCUUGAGGACUGGAGAGGAGACUGGAAUUCAUGGUGUAGCAGUGAAAUGCGUAGAGAUCAUGAGGAAGACCAGUGGCGAAGGCGGGUCUCUGGACAGUACCUGACACUGAGGCACGAAGGCCAGGGGAGCAAACGGG
rnacentral:rRNA from 1 species